UACGUAGGGGGCAAGCGUUGUCCGGAAUCAUUGGGCGUAAAGAGUGUGUAGGCGGUGCUCUAAGUCUGUUGUGAAAUCUCCCGGCUUAACCGGGAGGGUGCGGCGGAAACUGGAGUGCUCGAGGGUGGGAGAGGUAAGCGGAAUUCCUGGUGUAGCGGUGAAAUGCGUAGAUAUCAGGAAGAACACCCGUGGCGAAGGCGGCUCUCUGGGACGGUACUGACGCUGAGACGCGAAAGCGUGGGGAGCGAACAGG
rnacentral:rRNA from 1 species